GUAAAUAUAGUUUAUUAAAACACUAGACUGUGACUCUAGAAAUAGAAGCCCCAUCUUCUUAUUUACC
rnacentral:tRNA from 1 species